rnacentral:lncRNA from 1 species
UGCCACAUAAAAUGAAUUAUGACUUAUAUUUUACCACAAAGUAUUAGUGAUUUCGAUCUUCCUGUUUUUCCUUUUUUUUUGACAAAAUCUUCCUGUUUUUCCUACUUGCUUAAUCUCUACUCACUGUUUUUCUCUUCCAAAAAAGUGUUAGCUCUUCAUCAAGCAUUCCCUCCAAAGUUCCCAUUUUGCCGAAACCUUUAUUUUUGUCAAUGACGCCAUUUCUAUGUUGUCAGGCUUCGGCAUGCCAGUGUUAG